UCUUGCACAUCUCCAUGGUAUCAUUGGCCAGCCCUGAUGCCUCUUGCAACAGCCAUGCCAGUGCUUUGGUCUUUGAUCUUUCCUCCUCAGCUGUGUCAUUCUCAUUCUGCUUUGUCCUUCUCUGUAGCACUCCACUGAUGAUUUUUUCUGGCCACUCUAUGUCUGGGAUUUGUCUAGGCUGUUUUUUAUGAAGACUUGGGGUAUAAUAGCAGGAUAUUGAUAAAUCUCUGCUUUUCAGAACUGUACAUUUGUGGUAAAAAGAUGGAGUUUCAUUUGAGAGCCAGGGUUCAGUUUCUCUAGCUUGGCUUCAGGAUCACAAGGGCAUGCUCUGGCUUUGUAUGUUUUGGCUUGCAUGGCUCUAAUCCCCCUUCUGCCUUCCUCAGCAGCAGUCACAAGAUCCCACAAGCUCUCCCCAUUGUGUCAAGGUGCGAGCUGUGGGUAAAGGGAGCUGAAUUCUGUCGCCUAUUCUGGAGGCAGACAGCCUGGAUGGGACAGUACUAUGGGGAAAGCAAAGGGCUGGCUAGUCAGAGCAUUCUAGCAGUGAGCCUAUCGUAUCAGGCACUGUUUGGCUGCAUCACAGAAAGCCUUGGGCCACUUUAGACAUGUGGGCUCAUGAUCAGUUGGUAGGCUACUCUCCUGAACUGGUUCUGAGCAAAUGCCCCAGCCAAGUUGGCAUGGGGCUCUGGAGGUGCCCUCUUCCUGAUGAGAUGUAUAACUGAGGCCUGCUCUAUGCUGUGGGUGAUAGUCAGAUGCCAGACAGGAGUUGGGCACUUGCCCUGCUGAUCUGCCUACAUCCCAGCUCCCUCUUUGCAUCAUAAUUUAGUGCAUGCAUUGCUGAAGCACCAGCUGGCCUAUCAGUGAUUGGGGUCUGUAGUUCCAGCUGAAUGGAGCACCCCUCGCUUCCUGGGUGCAUGGCUCUAAUCAUUAUACCCCAAGUCUUCAUAAAAAAGCUGUGGCGCACCCUGCCACCCAUCAUCAUGCUGCUGCAUUCCACCCUCCAGCUCCCACCGCACCCUGGCAUGCAGGGCUGUGAGGCCACUGGGGAGUGCUCUGAGCCCCGCGGAUGAAAGGUGCCAAGGUUUGUUGUUACAAGAGUUGGCCUUUUUUGGAGUCCCCCUGCAGCAGGUGCAUUGUGUCACAGGACCAGUGCAGCCAGGAAGUAAUAGCACAUCAUCUGCAUGUGUACGGUCGACUAAAACAGGUACACAUGGCUACCUGCCCCAUGCACAGGCUGGACGUGGAUGUGGCAGGAGGGUGGGGCCAGGCUGCUUGCUUCACCCCUCUCCACCUGUUUCCUGGAACAGACCUGCUUAUUCAGCCUGUGUUUGUAUUUCGCACAAACACUGGUUAUUUGACACACUGCUUCCUUCUCAGGUUUUACUUUUGUUUUAAAGAAACAAAAGCUGCCCUGUGGUGCAGCAGUAUCCCUAGCCAGCCUGUGUUGCCAAGGAGAUGGUUGGACAGUUCAGGCUGGAAUUAAGAGCUUGUGUUAGACUCAUGGGGGCUGUCGGAAGAGGAUAAAGUGUGGCCCCCCUCCAUUUUCCUAUCCUCACGCUGCAUGACUUGCAUUUCCCCAUUAAGAAUCUGAGUAGGAUCUGCCCAGAGUACAGUGUGGUAGGGCUGUCAGGUGUCAUGGGGAGGAAGGUCCCCUCUCCCCUCAGCAGAAAGUACUUUCUUCCACACCAGGAUCGGGAACCACUGAUAGUGGGAUAGCUUGAAAUGAAUGACACCACUGCCCUGUCUGUGUAGCAGAUUCACCAUGCUGGCAGGGGUGCCCUCCCAUUCACUGUGCUGUCCUGAACAGGCUUCCAUGUGGGCCAGAAGCAGCAUCUUUGUACCUGUGCAACACUGCAGAUGGACUAGUUAGCAUCAGGGGCAAGCUAAUUGGUACAGGCACUAAGCAGUGCUAACUAGGUCACCUGGAGUGCCCCACAUGGCCACACUGUUUCUGUGGAGCAGUGUGGCCUGCUUGAGGGCACUGCUGAUGGCAGUCAGUUUACCAUGAAGACAUGGCCUGGACCCGCUCCCCUUGAGGAGGCAGUCCCUGUUGUUCUGAGAUGAGGUGGCAGCCCCUAGGGUGAGACAGUGGCAGCAAACUCUAGGGUGGCCUUGACCUGCGCCCCCCCAUGCCUUGGAGGGAAGGGUGGAGCCCAAGCUCCAGCAUUACAGCAGGUUGAAGACAGCGCAGGGGCGAUGAAGCUGGGUACUGAGCUCUGACGGAGUGGGGGAGGCCGAGCCUUACAUGAUCUCACCAGGGCGCUUCGUCUCCUUGGUGCCCGGACCAGGCUGUUCUUCCUUUGCCUAUUGAGUGGCCAGGCAGAGACAGCUGUGGCAUGUCAGUGCUUUGAAAUAAACAGUCCAUUCAUUCCACAGCUGACCUGCGGGACCCCGUUUCCCAGAGCACUACAUCUCUCCAUGCCGGAACACAGGCACAGCUGUUCCUUCCCUACGCGGGUGUCUCUGCCUCUCUCACACCCGCCCUUUAUAGUGUCCCAGACUGCUUGGCCAGGGCACUGCUUAUACUGCUGGAGGACAAGGGCACUGCUGAGGGGAAGCUCACUUUGUUCAAGUCCUGGCUGCCAUUUCCAGAGUGCUGCUAUACGGAAGUUCACAAGGCUGAAGCCCCAAAGUGAAUGUUUAAUUGUGCUCUUCCAGGCCUCGGCUGGUGUUGCUCAAGACAGAUUGAAUUCAGUGAAGGCAUACUGGAAGCCAACUGGAGUGAACACUAGAACCAGGGGCAGGGAGGAAAUGAGUGACCAAGGUCACAAGAAUGUUUCCAGAUGAAGCCUGGCUCUUCCCACUAAAGGAACACCUGUGCAGCUCCAUGGCCA